rnacentral:rRNA from 1 species
AUGAUUUGGGAGAAACCUGUGCAUUCCGAAGAUAAAAUAGAUAUCUUGAAUAUUAAGCUCAAACAUAUAAAAAAAUACUUUAAAGGAUGGGGCUCUCACCUCUUCGGCCAUGCCAAUAAAAGAAAGAAGUGGAUCAAGAAGGAGCUGGAAGAAAUAGAGAAAAUGGAGGAGGUUGGCCACUUGGAUCCUGAGACUUACGAGAAAAGAACCACCUUGAGUGCUGAGCUGAAUGAUAUCCUUGCCGAUGAAGAGCUAUUUUGGCUACAGCACUCGAAUGAGCGAUGGUUGUUAAAAGGGGACUGUAACACAGCCUAUUUCCACCGUAUAGCUAAUGGUAAGAAGAGAAAAAAUGCCAUUCAUUCCCUUGCUGAUGGGGAUAGGGUUAUAGAGGGCACAAAACAUCUCCUGGAACAUGCCACUUCCUAUUAUAAGGGACUCUUUGGCCCGGCCAAUGGAAAUAUUUUUCACCUCUCUCCUGAAACCUGGUCUGAUGAGGAGAAACUUAUAGAAGAUGACAAUCUCAUCUUGACUAGUGCUUUCACUGAAGAGGAAGUUAAAAAAGUUUUAUUUAGCAUGAACAGUAAUAGGGCCCCUGGGCCUGAUAAUAUACCAGCUAAGUUUUAUAAACACUGUUGGGACUUCGUCAAAAACGAUAUUAUGAGACUUUUUUAA